GGAACGGACCCGAGCGGCCGGGCGCGGGCGGAGGUGGGGGACUUGGAGAGAAAGUGUCGCCUAGAGUAACUUCGAGCUUCGUUUUGUCGUUUGCAUGAGUCCUUACUCGCGAUUAGGUGCUCAGUAAACAUUUGAAGGAGAAAAAGAAGAAAACACGGCAGGAGUGAAGAGAGAAACCUCAAGGACAUAGAGACAAGCAAACAGAUGAGGCCACCGUAAAUCAGCCAAACCCACCAGCUCAGCAAAGAUUCAAGAAUGAGUCUAGCCCAGACCAACCAACAUCAGACCACCCCACUGAGACGAGCCGUGACUGUCAACACAGAGGAGCGUGAGCUAAAUAAAAUAGCGCUUCCUUGGGUCUGGAGUCUCUCUGAUCUAUUCUGCCUUUACCCUGCCGAAGACAGAUCACCUUGAGCAAAGUGCAACAGGACUGGUUCCAUAACUUGAGUCUUUAAAAGGAAGAGGUUGGCGACUGGCCUUGUUACCACCUACUCGGCUUCCUUCUCCCUGGAGUGUGUCCUCGCCCCUUUCCUUCCUAUCCCUUCCCAAGCGUGUCCCUCUUCUCAGCUGCGUCUUUCUCUGGCCUUUCUCUCCUCUUACAGAACGGAACAGCUCAGGCUCGUCUGCUCUCAGGCACGAAGAAAAAUGCAGGAGUGGAAACGGAGGUUAGAAAGAGCAAGUGGGUGCCCACAGAGGAGCUGGUCAAGGAGUGGGGUGUGGAUGGAGGAGAUGGAAUGGAAAAGACUGGAAUUGCCAGAAGGUCUUCAGAGAGCUGAAGGAAUAGACCCGGCUGGAGGACAACGCAGGACUGCCCCGUCACAUUCAGGAAGGAAAACCGCACUCAUACCGGGAAGCCAUCUGAGCUCUCUGUUUGAGCGGAAGGCGUGUUUUCAUGCAAAUGGACAAGGUGAGGCAAUGAUGUCCAGGCUGCAGCUUUGGAGAGGGAGCUCUCUGAAGCCUUACGGUAUGUCCACGCUGGCUUGGAAUAAAAGAAUAGAAGGGGUGCCCAAGAUGAGCCAGGAAUAGGACCAGGCACUGCAGGGUCCCCUGCCUGGUCCCAGCAUUUGACUUUCUGACAACUGAAAUAGAAGCUGUGAUUCCUGUCCUCUGAUAUUCUGAAUGGAGCAAAAGAUGGAGUUGGCCCCCAAUUUGCCUGUGUCGCGAACGAAAGCAUCAGGAUGAAAGUCAAAUUCUCGGCGGGAGGUCCGUCAUCUCUCUUCCAGGUGCACCCUGACCCAGCCCCUUCUGAUGCUGAGCGCCAUCUUGGAUUUCUAGUUCUAGCAAAAUGGAGCUUCUUCUGCGGUCCCUCCAGCUGCAAUGCCUGAGGCCUUAUUGGAUGAUAGCCUUCAUCCUUUAAGAGUAAACAGAGGUGUUACUACCUGGAGGGAAACUCCGACUCUCUCCCUCUUAAUUCUUUGAAGUCUGACUUUAGAGGAUCUGUCCUUUCUCCUGGAGAAGGGGUUAUUACUCUGUAAACAAAUGUGUUCUACAGAAAGGGAAAGGCAAUAAGGCUAGUUGGUAGGGAAAAAAAAGUAGUUAAAUUAUUCAGAAAAAAAGACUGUGAAAUAGCCAAACCUAAGAAAGGCAGAGCCCAACCAGGAGAGAAAGUGGCAGAACUAUGGAAUGCUUGACAUUCUUUUGAACCCUAAGAGCGAAGACAGUCAAGAUCACAAUGGGGUCGGAACAAGUACAGGUAAGAGUUGUAUUUUGUGGGGCGCCUGGGUGGCUCAGUGGGUUAAGCAUCCGACUUUGGCUCAGGGCAUGAUCUCACA